rnacentral:rRNA from 1 species
UACAGAGACUGCAAGCGUUAUUCGGAUUCACUGGGCGUAAAGGGUGCGCAGGCGGCCGCGUGUGUGAGGCGUGAAAGCCCGGGGCUUAACCCCGGAAUUGCACCUCAAACUACACGGCUAGAGCAUUGGAGAGGGUAGCAGAAUUCACGGUGUAGCAGUGAAAUGCGUAGAUAUCGUGAGGAAUACCAGAGGCGAAGGCGGCUACCUGGACAAUUGCUGACGCUCAGGCACGAAAGCGUGGGGAGCAAAAGGG